UAUUACAUGUUAUGUCCUGUGACUUGUUGUAACUGCCAUAUGCUUAUUUAUGUGCUAGGGUCUUUUUUAUCCUGGACUUAAAUUAUCCUCAGAAGAGGAUAGUUCGAGCGUGUUUUUUUUCCCUCUCCCUACCCAGCGUUUUCCUUUCUGAAUUCUGAUUGUAAUUUCCCCAUUGCGGGACAAAUAAAGGAUAUCAUAACUUAAUGCCUCAACAGGAAAAUCGUGCCUCUUGUUAUGCCCCAACUUUUUUGCUUCCUGUUAUUCCAGUGUUGCCCCACCCCUUAUUGGACAUAAUAUUUUGGCAACGAAAACAAAACGGGAACUUCACAUGGCGCCGCUGUCCUUGUUCCAGUCUCACGGUCCCGCCGGUAUGAAUACUUUAGGACUAGCAGUUGAUUCGCAUAACUAAAGCUAGCGAGGCUAACCUCAUUCACAGCGACUUUAUUUUCAUACUGUCGGGCUCGUGUGGAUUUAUGAAGAUUGUGUCCUUUGGUUGGGUGGGCCUUUUGCUGCUCCACUGAGCGUUAUAGUCCUGCAACGGCAGCAGAUAGCCGAGUCGUAAGUCCUCUGUAAAUGCCAGCAACAUAUAGUGACAGGCAGAAGACUAGCUAGCUAGCAGAAGGUACAAUAAACCUGUGCAUCCACCUGUUGCCCUUCACACUUCAGAAUAAGUCCUAACUUGUUUCCGAAUAUAUUACCUUUGUAUUUAAUUCAACAGAUUGCACACUGAGCAGCUAAAGUGAAGAUCGGCAUUAUUAUUUAAAUGUUCAUACUUUUUGUGACUGUUUUGUAGUGUGGUUGUCAGAGCAUCAAAUAUUAAAUGUGUACAUUGGCUCAUUAAAGGUUGGGUAGCACUGUUCUAAACAACCAGGAGGACAUAUUCAGGAGAUAAAUAGAUCUCUUGUCUCUAUUUGUCUUGAGACGAGAACAUCAAGACAGAUGUAUCUACUUUGUGUCAACGAAGUGGCCUCUUGUGCCAACGAGUGGUGAUGGACAGGGGUGCGCUUGGCCCUCCUGGUGGGGCGCAGCGGGGGGCUAUGUAAAGGUGAGGUUCUGGGUGUCAGAGCCCACAAAGCGGACCCCCCUGGGAGGGUAAUCACCAUGAUGCUAGCCCCAGUUAGCGUAGCCGUGGCCCUCAGUUCCACAAAGACACUCCUCUCAAGAGACAUGCCUGCGCCUUUGUGCUCCUCUCCCCUCAGAGUGUGCCCCUCUCCGGGGGGGCCCGAGAGGCACAACGGGGUUCCCAUUAAGCCAUUAGGAGUCGAGGGGGGUCGGGGGGGGGGCAACUCUGACAGCCUGGUAUACAAAUAGGCACAAAUACACCCAAGGGCGACAUCGUGUAUACUGUAAGUACUGGGAUGACAAAAUAUUGUAACACUGCUUCACGUUUGUUAUUUUCGUCACUGAGCUAAUGAGGUCGGGACAUGAAUUUAAGCCAGUGUCAUGUUUUGGCAACUGACGCUUUGUCAGGAUAAUGUCUUUAAAUUUGCAAAGAUAAAGCCUGUUUCAACUUGAAUCCCUUCACGAUGCGCCCUGUGGGUUGGCAUGCGAUUCGUUUUGCUCGACUCAUGAUCAUUAAUUAAAGUAACCCCGUGCCCUAAUUUUCCAAUCAAAAAUAACAUGGAUUGCAAAACUGGCUUCUAACAACGAGAAUAGCCAUUCAUUAGUAUGGGAAACCAAAAUACUGUAUUUUAAUCAAGUGGUCUAUAAAUGGGUGCGCCACUAUGCUAAAUGCUAGUGCUAAUGUUACUGUUGGGGAUUUCAUCAACUUUAUGACACGGCACAAGCAUAACAAAUUGACGGACACCUAAUGGAACCACUUGUUUUGUUUUGUCUUCAGAGGACAAUGUAGAGAAUCAUUUUGAGUCGAGACAAGCGUACGUGUGCUAUUAAAAAAAAAAAAAAAAAAAAAAAACUUUCAACAAUGUGACCCCGAUCUGCCUGUUAUUUGUUUGGCUAUCGGAGCUUUCCACAUCAUCACGGGUAACGGGACGGCUAGACGGCUCUCCUGUGUCUCCUCCCAUUCAAGGGGUCGAGUUCACUCUGUAACGUUGAUUAAUUAACAGCAAUGAGCAAACAACGUUCCCACAGUGCCGUCAUCCGCGGGAGGUGAACAUGAAGAAAGCCGUUGCUCCAUUCGCAGCGGCAACGUGCCGCAUCACAUUCGCUCACGCCGCUCAUCUCUCUUCUCGCUGCGGCCCACUCUUUACAGCGUGCACCGUGACCUGUGCGGCACCGUGAAAUAAAGAUGCACAAACCAGUUGGCACGACGCAGGCCUGCCCUCUAAUUGGAAACAGACUCAUCUUGCUGGACUUUAAUUACAGUUGCCAUGGUAACCGCACAAAGAGAAAUGAUUCAAUGGUCGACUCGUGACAGAUUUGUGGAAUGGUAAUGAGCAACACUGUUCAUUUAAACACACACACACACACACACAAA